CUUACAAACGUAGGUUCUGUUUCUUCCUCAUAUCUCUCUACCGUCCGAUCUCUCAAAUGCUAAAGCUUUCAAUCCAUCAACAAAGCGCGCCAAAUACAAAAAAAAUUUAACUUCAUUUUCUUCUCUACUGAUCCAGAAAGAAAACGAAGGGAAAAUUGAAGAAAAUUCAGAAAAAAAUUCUCCGGUCAACAAGUUAGUAAGCAUCUAAGGGUUUGGAUAGUAUGGCAGAAGUUCCGGCGAGUCCAGGAGGUGGUUGUGGUAGCCAUGAGAGUGGUGGUGAACGGAGUCCUCAAUCGAAUGUGAGGGAACAGGACAGGUACCUUCCGAUAGCGAACAUCGGUCGUAUCAUGAAAAAGGGAUUGCCUACUAAUGCUAAGAUAGCUAAGGAGGCUAAAGAUACUGUCCAGGAAUGUGUUUCUGAGUUCAUCAGUUUCAUCACUAGUGAGGCAAGUGACAAGUGUCAAAAAGAGAAGAGAAAGACGAUUAAUGGAGAUGAUUUGAUAUGGUCACUGACCACCUUAGGAUUUGAGGACUACAUUGAGCCACUAAAGGCCUAUUUGAUUAGGUACAGAGAGAUGGAGGGAGACACCAAGGGAUCUUCUAGAGCUGGAGAUACGUCUGCCAGAAACGAUAUAGUUGGAAGUCAGCUCAGUCCCGGUACACAGUUUGUCUAUGAUGGGUCUUUUUCACAAGGCUUUGACUAUGGGAACUCCCAAAUGUGAAUUUCCUAAGAAGACUAUAGUUUGGACAAUGGGUAGAUUAAAAUUGGUGUUCAUCGAGCUUCCUACCUCUCAAAAAGAGAGGGGUUGGGGAGAUGGCUGCCUACCUCUCAAUAGAGUGUAUUAAGUAUUACAACGGUGCUGAUGCGAGUAUCUUCUGCCUAAAGUUCUUGUUUAUCUAUGUACUAAGCCAUUCAAUGGUUGCUGAUAAUAUAUGUUUGAAAGCUCUAGGAACCGAAAGUAUCCUGCAAAUCUUGAAUUUAGCCAUACUGCAAAACACUUUAUUUUCUGAACUUCUCUUCCAGUACUUUGAUGCUCUGUACAUGUAACAUGUAAUUUGUUUUUUUUUGUUGUAAACUGAGAGCAAUCUUCUUUUUCUGCAAAAUUUGCUUGGUUCUAAGGGUGAGUGACCUUAACUUUUUGUAUGAAGUUACUUUUAAGACA